rnacentral:tRNA from 1 species
GAUAAAAUAGAGCAAUGGUAGCUCAUUAGGUUCAUGCCCUAAAGGAUAAAGGUUCGAGUCCUUUUUUUAUCA